rnacentral:rRNA from 1 species
CCUACGGGGGGCUGCAGUGGGGAAUUUUGCGCAAUGCUCGUAAGAGUGACGCAGCGACGCCGCGUGAAUGACGAAGGCCUUCGGGUCGUAAAGUUCUUUUGACAGGGAAGAAAAUGCCUAUAAGUAACUGUGUAUGUAUUGACGGUACCUGUAUAAGAAGGCCCGGCUAACUCCGUGCCAGCAGCCGCGGUAAUACGGAGGGGGCGAGCGUUGUUCGGGGUGGUUGGGCGUAAAGAGAACGUAGGCGGUGUUGUAAGUGAUUAGUCAAAGACUAGAGCUCAACUUUAGUAGGGCUGGUGAUACUAUAAUACUAGAGUAUCAGAGAGGAAUGCAGAAGUCCUGGUGUAGCGGUGAAAUGCGUAGAUAUCAGGAGGAAUACCGUUAGCGAAGGCGGCAAUCUGGCUGGAAACUGACGCUGAGGUGCGAAAGCGUGGGUAGCAAACAGGAUUAGAUACCCCUGUAGUC